rnacentral:rRNA from 1 species
CAACAACGGAUCUCUUGGCUCUCGCAUCGAUGAAGAACGCAGCGAAAUGCGAUAAGUAAUGUGAAUUGCAGAAUUCAGUGAAUCAUCGAAUCUUUGAACGCACCUUGCGCUCCUUGGUAUUCCUUGGAGCAUGCCUGUUUGAGUAUCAUGAAAU